rnacentral:rRNA from 1 species
UGCAGUCGAGCGGUAGAGAGAAGCUUGCUUCUCUUGAGAGCGGCGGACGGGUGAGUAAUGCCUAGGAAUCUGCCUGGUAGUGGGGGAUAACGUUCGGAAACGGACGCUAAUACCGCAUACGUCCUACGGGAGAAAGCAGGGGACCUUCGGGCCUUGCGCUAUCAGAUGAGCCUAGGUCGGAUUAGCUAGUUGGUGGGGUAAUGGCUCACCAAGGCGACGAUCCGUAACUGGUCUGAGAGGAUGAUCAGUCACACUGGAACUGAGACACGGUCCAGACUCCUACGGGAGGCAGCAGUGGGGAAUAUUGGACAAUGGGCGAAAGCCUGAUCCAGCCAUGCCGCGUGUGUGAAGAAGGUCUUCGGAUUGUAAAGCACUUUAAGUUGGGAGGAAGGGUUGUAGAUUAAUACUCUGCAAUUUUGACGUUACCGACAGAAUAAGCACCGGCUAACUCUGUGCGCAGCAGCCGCGGUAAUACAGAGGGUGCGAAGCGUUAAUCGGAAUUACUGGGCGUAAAGCGCGCGUAGGUGGUUAGUGUAAGUUGGAUGUGAAAUCCCCGGGCUCAACCUGGGGAGACUGUCGAUUCCANNAAGCUGGAGCNNUGACUCAUGAGUAUAGGUAGAGGGUGGUGUGAAUAUUNNCUUAGAUGUGACCGG